UUAUGACUGUCGGUUUUAUUGCAAAUUACUGAAAUUAAUUAAUUUAUUUAAAAUAUUAUAAAUAAUUAAUGUUAGAUUGACCGACUCAACAAACUUUGUUUUUAAUAUGUAAUUGUUUUUAUCGAUUACCUAUGCUAUGCAGUUCAUUCGCGCAAAAUGUGUAGUGGGUGAUGUUAUUAUUAGGAACAAAUUGGAAAAAAGUAUAAUAAAUUGGAUUUUAUGGAACAAACAAAUUAAUCCAGCGAAAAACGAAGUAAAAGGACGCAGAGUAGCGUGAGAACGACGGUCUCCCGAAAUAUGUGGCGAAGGAUACCACGCAAUCUGCACGUGACGCGCGAACUGCCGGGAUUACUCGCUUCUAACUUGAGCAGCGCGGCAUGUUAGGGUGACCACACACUGAAGCCGAUGGAGAAAUAAUUGACCUCCGACUGCGAGGUAACGUUAAAAAUGAAAUGUGCGCAGACUUUAUUUACUUUAAUAAUUGGACAAGUGUAUAAAUUAGGCCGUAUUAAAGUGGAACAAAUUACCUGUCACGAAAACAACUUGUUUAUUAAUUACUGAAAGAGCUGCUUGUAAACAUCGUUGUGUAAUUGUAAUUAAUU